CGCGAGCUUCGUUGUACCCCUCGCCCAGAGCCUCCGACCCGCGCUUUGCUCUCCGCCCCGCCUGAGGAUCGCGGUCACAAAUCGCAGGCAGCGGGUGUCGUAGGGGAAUCUGCAAAUGCUUAAGCCUCCCUCUGCUUCGGCACUGGAAGGAAACGCUGCAUUUCCCAGUCGCGCGGGUUAAACUGCAGGCGCUGGCAAACAAUUGCUAGGAGGCCCUUCCAGCGUGCAUUGCAUGGAUAACUCUGUCUCUUCACAGGGCUGGGAAAGAAAUCCAAAGUCGUGACUCAGGAGGCGCCUCGGGAAGGAAGAAACCGUGGACGUCCUCGGCGUGGCCGUGCCUGUUCCUCUGUCUCCUAUUCGGCUCGAGAGCUGCUCGUUGUGGUCAGCUUUCCGCUCUCCUGCCGGCCCUGGAUCUCGUUCCAAAUUCAAUCUGCUCGAAGGCAAGGCGUUGGCGAGAGGGGAGCGCGGCUGAACUCCAAUCCAAGAAGAGCUGACCCUGACCCUGACCCUUUUGAUGAGAAGAACAGUUGCUGUCCCCUGGAAUAUUGGAGAAUAAAAAGGAGAUUUCUGAAUUUCAUCCUCGUUGGGUUGUUAGUGCUUUCUUUGGUGUCUUUC
rnacentral:lncRNA from 1 species